rnacentral:rRNA from 1 species
UACGGAGGGUGCGAGCGUUGUCCGGAAUUAUUGGGCGUAAAGAGCUCGUAGGCGGUCUGUCGCGUCUGCUGUGAAAACUCAGGGCUUAACCCUGAGCUUGCAGUGGGUACGGGCAGACUAGAGUGCGGUAGGGGAGACUGGAAUUCCUGGUGUAGCGGUGAAAUGCGCAGAUAUCAGGAGGAACACCAGUGGCGAAGGCAGGCUCACUGGGACGG